ACAAAACAGAACAGAGUUCGGGAGUUAGAGGUUCUGUUUUUCAUCCCGGAAGCAGCAUCAAAAAUACAGGACUGUUUUUCAUAAAGUAAGUGAGUAGUUUUUGAUUUUAAAGUGAUAAUUUCUUCUCUAAUAUUUAGCAACAUAUUUUUGGUAAUUUGUCUUAAACAGCGGCACAAAAAAGUGGAAAUCUCACAGAUUUCUGCUGUCUUUGCAUUUCGUCAUACAUCUUCACGCUCAAAUAAUUUCUGAUUUCAGAUCAUCCUAAACAUCACAAAGCAAUCUUCUAUGCAAACUAAUCAAACACAAUGUGUGAAAGCAAUCGCUCCUAAAUGUUAGUUGCAUCCUGGGCAGCAACAACAGCCAUCGAGCUUUUCUGAUAACCGGCGACGAAUCUUUAACAUCGCUGACGUUUUUAGCCCACUAUCUUUGCGGAAUUGCCUUGAAUCAGCCACUUUGGAGGGUUUUUUCUGCACGAAGAGCCUGUUUAGAUAAUCUCACUCAGAUCUAAGUCCAGACUCCAAAAACUUGAUUUAGUUUUUUUCAGUUACUGAGAGAUGGAUUGGCUGGUGUGCUUUGGAUUAUUGUCUUCCUGCAGAACCUAAAUGUGCUGCGGCUUCAGGUGACAAACCAAUGUCCUGAUGUGAAGUCAUCCAUGUCCUGAAGAAGCCAAACAGACCCAGACCAUCUCUCUAACCCCACCAUGACUGAUUUAUGGUCUGGUGUUCUUUUUAGGAAAGCUGUGUUGCUUUAAAUCCAGAUGUAACAGGACGAGUCGUUUUUAUGCUUGUGCAGUGAAUGAGGACUGGCUCUCCUGCUUGCUGUUGAGCACAGGGAGGGUAUUUUACAUGCUUUGUGUGGGGCUGCUCUGGAUUUUAUCCCUCUCCAGAAUUUAAUAAUUUUCUCCAUUUUGACUAGGAAGUGGGGCUCGCCCAGGGCGCCAUUCAGGACUGCCACUGGUGGCUGAACCAAAUAAUGUGGUUUAUUACGGUUCAUUCAUUAUUUAACAAGAGGUGAAACUACUUUCUCCGAAAGGGCGAGAGCUCCUUUGUGGAGGACUUCAGCUGUCAAGAACGAGAAGCACAAACGUUUCAGCCACAGAGCUGAGGAAAGGCGAAGCAGCGGACUUGAGGUGGUCAUUUGCUGUUUCUUUUAAUAUUGUAUCAAACUGUCCUGGUUAAUGAUAUUUGAAGACAUUUGUUACAGUGUUUUUCUUUCCACAUCCACAUCCCCUCUUCUGUUCCUUGUUUCUGGAGAGCAGCAGGACUUUUAUGUUAAAGCUGAACAAAUAAUGAAAGUGAUUCACGGCGUCUGAAUGUUUACCUGCUGCCGCUUAGUUUCUCAAUCCUGUAUCCAAGGCUUUCAAAUGUCACACAAAGGUUUGUAAAGGAGCUGAAAGAGGGGCUGCAGAUGGUAGACGGGGCCUGGGCCAUCAAGCUCCUCGUCAACAGAGACAGUAACCAUGGGAUCGUAAAACAGAUCCAGUUUAAGGUGAUGAGCCAGAGUUAUUAGGCGUUGUGUCUCACCUGAUGAGGUUCUGCAGCAGCUGCUUGCUGGAGUUUCUCCUCCUGAUG